rnacentral:rRNA from 1 species
CCUACGGGAGGCAGCAGUGGGGAAUAUUGCACAAUGGGCGAAAGCCUGAUGCAGCAACGCCGCGUGAGGGACGAAGGCCUUCGGGUUGUAAACCUCUUUUAGUAGGGAAGAAGCGAAAGUGACGGUACCUGCAGAAAAAGCACCGGCUAACUACGUGCCAGCAGCCGCGGUAAUACGUAGGGUGCAAGCGUUAUCCGGAAUUAUUGGGCGUAAAGAGCUCGUAGGCGGUUUGUCGCGUCUGCUGUGAAAACUGGAGGCUCAACCUCCAGCCUGCAGUGGGUACGGGCAAACUAGAGUGCGGUAGGGGAGAUUGGAAUUCCUGGUGUAGCGGUGGAAUGCGCAGAUAUCAGGAGGAACACCGAUGGCGAAGGCAGAUCUCUGGGCCGUAACUGACGCUGAGGAGCGAAAGCAUGGGGAGCGAACAGGAUUAGAUACCCUGGCGAGUCAUGCGUAACGUUACGGUAACGUAGAUGUGGGUCGACUCUACGUCGUUCCGUCGUCGCGAGCUACGACAUAACGUUACCCGUCCGUCGGGAGGUACGGCCGCGACGACGUAAACCGUACGAACGAAGUAGACGGCGNGAGACGUGCCGACGGACGACGACGAGGGAGGUAGG